rnacentral:rRNA from 1 species
CAGCCGCCACGGUAAUACGAAGGGGGCUAGCGUUGCUCGGAAUGACUGGGCGUAAAGGGCGCGUAGGCGGCUGACACAGUCAGAUGUGAAAUUCCUGGGCUCAACCUGGGGACUGCAUUUGAGACGUGUUGGCUUGAGUGGAGAAGAGGGUCGUGGAAUUUCCAGUGUAGAGGUGAAAUUCGUAGAUAUUGGGAAGAACACCAGUGCGAAAGCGGCUUACUGGACCAUCACUGACGCUGAUGCACGAAAGCUAGGGGAGCAAACAGGAUUAGAUACCCCAGUAGUCCCUGUCUCUUAUACA